ACUUACAGAUGGUUAGACAUUAAACUGGCAUAGAAUAAAUGUUUUAAUAUCCCAAAAACUACAAGCUUUACCUGUAAUGUCGGAUUUUUGUUGUUUGGAUAUUGAUAAAUGAAUCAUCGUAAAUGUAAGCGUUUGGUUUAAUCUUUUAUGUGGGCUCUGUCAUUUUCUAUUUCUAUUUUCUAUUCUAUUUUCUUUUCUUCUGAGCUCUAUUGAUUUCUACUGACCAAAAAUGUUUACAUAUAUGCAUAAUUAAGUAAAGAAUAUAAAUAACAAGAUAUUUGAAAUAUAUAUCAGUUUUUAUUUCUUUGUUAAUUUUUUUUUUUAAAUUUCAGUUUUAGUAAGUUUAAUGUAUUAUUUUAUAUAUUAAUUAUAUAUAAUGUUAUAUAAUGUAAUAAUAUAUAAUAUCACAUUAUUUUUAUAAUUGAAUUUAAACAUUCAUUGCAAUUUUUAAUGCAGAGGGCCCAACACUGUUCCUGGAUGUCUACCUUCCUGCAGAGUUCAGCUCCAACCCUGCAGGACAGUAGAUCUCCAGGAACAGGGUUGGACACCCCUGUUUUAAUGUACAAAUUUCUGUUGAUAGUGAAUUUACAUAUUUAUAAUUGAAUAAUUUAAUAAUCUAAUUCAAUUUCAUUUCAUUUACACUUAAUUUCUGUUAUAUACACUCACACGCACAUAUGAUAUGUGUUUUUAUUUUUAGGCUUCAUACCCCUAUAAUUAUAUGGCAGGGCAGGGCUUGUCCUGUGGUGAGAAGGUUGUGAACUCUUGUGUGAAAACUGCAGAGUCAAGUGAAAUGAGCCCAGAUCAAUUAGACGUGUUUAUGCUUGACUGGCUGCACCCUGAUUCGCUCUGUCUCACCAUACAAAAGUGAUGACUGAAUGCUAUCAGUGCACAGCACCAAGCUGAUCACCCACAGCCCUUCUGCACCCUGUAAUUCAAUCACAAUGACAGCAGCCUGGGCCAAAGGCUUCAUUCAGAGGUCUGUUGGACUGAUGCUAGGAGCUACUGCGGGCACCAACUGUAGGAAGGCCUGGAUAAUGCACAGAAUAGCGUGGGAAAAAAGCACAGGAAGCAAGGACAUCUAAUUACACAGAGAUAAGGAGUAUCUCAUUUCCAGAGGAAAUGUGUGGAGGCUACUUGUGAAAGGAUCUGUGCAUUCACACAAAGAACAAAGAAGAAAAGGAUUUAAACCAAUCUGACUGCUGUCUUUCAUGCGUUGUAACCGUGCUUUUGUGUUUGUUAACUCUGCCAAAUACAAAAACGUACAAAAGCAUUUAAUAGAUAAUGGUAAGAAAGCUGACUAUUAGCACUCUUAAUGGUUUAUGAUCUGGAGGUCAAAGGUCGAGGACUUUCAAGUCUUACCACAUCCAAUAAUGAUCUGUCCAUUCAGCCUUUCAACAACAUUAAAGAAGCACUUGUAGGACAGGAAAGCAGUUGUGGAUCAUGACUCACCUACGGCAUCUGUGCCAUAAUACUCGGAAUACACAAUUGUUUAAUCACAAUAGAAGGAAAACUGACAAAAAAAAAAUCUGUUUUUACCAUAAUAUUAAUAAUUUAUGACAUUUAAAAGAAAACUCAGACAGCUCUUCUGAAACAACCUUGGGUCAAAUGCCUUGCUCAUGUGAUCGAUAACGAAACACUGACUCUGUUCCAGAUCUUAGUGAGCUGCCUAUGUAGGCACGCUAUAUACACACUAACACAGUUAACUAUAAAGGUCACUAUAGCGAAAAACUAUAUUAGCAUCCACACCAACAGACGAUAACAAUGUGUUCGUUAUAAGUGCAUGCUGUGGUUUUGUUGUCUGCUGCUUACUACUGUUUUAAGUUGUGUGGAUUCUGAUUGGCUGUCAAUGUUUUUAUCAUUCAUCAGCUGAAAAAAAAAGUUAGUUCCUCAAUGUUGUUAUCAUUGUAGUUGUAGGCUUCUUUACUCUAAUGCCGAGUUCACACUAUAAACAAUUUCAAAGGGGUCGGACUGUUAGCCAUCAGGCUCCUUUUAAAGGCUGAUAAGCUUUAAAGCAACACCAAACCUGACAGUUUGCAUGCCCAAGCAAUCUAUUUUAGCGUCUCCUGACCUGACCUUCGACACCUCUGACAAUCCCUGACAUGUUAGAUAGUAACAAGAUACAGUUUGAGCUCUUGCAGCUUUUUGAGCUUACUUCUAUGAAGAACAUGUUCUGGACAUGUAAAGAUCAAGGUAACAUUUCACCGAGUGACUAACUGGACCAGAACGGUUCCACUGGAUUGUUCCAGUUCAGUUUGUGUGGCCUUGCUAAAAUGUCAUUGACUUAGCUGGUGCCCCACUUCCUCUGCCCGGCCACUUCCUUUCCCAUCAGCCAUGAGCUUAAGGGAAUAGAGUGACGCAAGACUAAACAGAGCAGCGCUAAAUGUUUUAACCUAUCAGCCAGUAAGAUGUAUAUCACACACAGAUUCUUAUCUCUCCUCCGUACCUACUAACAGAAACGUGUUCAGCCUUAGGCUGCAGAGACAGAUGUAGAAUACACCCCUGCAAACCACAUCAUUGUGUCUGUAGGGCGGCACUUGGCUUUAGCUCUUGAGGACUGAUUGGGUUGUGAGUCAUUUGUUUGGAGUGAAGGGGUUGGUGACAUCAAAGAAAACUCAUUUAAGAAGCAGAGCAUGCUAUUAAAUUUUGAUGACAGAUAAUGAAGACUUGUGACAAUGUAUUGUUUGUUUGUCUUUUCUUUGGAAUAGUAUGUGUUGAUGAAUCAUGCACAAUGAGGCCAUGAACAUGAAUUUCAAAAAAUGUGUUUCAUUUGACCUUUAAUUGUUGUCUUGUUUGAACUUUUUUUUUUUUUUACUACACAUCUUCUUAAAGAGAUUGCUCACAUGUUCCAAACCUAUUUGACUUUUGUUCUUAUACCAAAAAAGAAGAUAUUUUAACAAACUUAUUUUGUCCACACAAUGAAAGUCAAUGGGGUCUAAAACAAAACAUUGGACCCCAUUAUCUUUCACUGAAAAAAACAAACAAAAAAAAAACAGUUUUUAAAAUUCCAUAUGCCAUACUAGCAAGAAACAAUUCUUCUAACCACAGGUCAAGAGCUGGAGUUAUAACCACACAAGUCUACAAUGCUGUUUGCAAAUGCUUGUUGGAACUGUUUUCGGGAAAUGCAGAAUUUUGGUAACAAUGGAAAUUGCAACCAUAGUUUCACUAAGGAAAAAAUGACUGUGAAAUUGACUUAUUACUGCAAGUCUUCUUAAAGAGAUUGUUUACCCAUUUUUUCACCCUCAUGUUUUCAAACCUUUAUGACUGACUUUCUUCCAAAAGAUAUUUAGACAAACUGCUUUUGUCCAUACAAUGAAAGUCAGUGGGGUCCAAACAAAACAAUAGAUUCCAUUGACUCACAUUUUUCAGAAUAUCAUUUUGGUAAUAAAAAUCAUACAGGUUUGAAAUGUAAUGAGGGU
ensembl:lncRNA